CAAUGUGUAAUGAGACCAUGUCUGGGCAUUACAAGUCCCAGCAGGCUUAGCGCCAUGCAAGGAAGUGUUGUUGUUUAUGUGCGGACACUUUAUUUCCUGAUUGCGGCGUAAAUUAACAACAGGUUGUAGAUUGCUCAGCGCUAUAUAAGUGAGUCAAAGUUUGUUUGCCAUUUUGCUGUCGUUGUUGCAUUCUGGUCGCGGCACGUAAAGGCCGGUAGGUAGUAAGUUUAUUUGUGUGAUGUGCGGUCUCUCUCUCUUUCUCGCGGAGUUUCCUUUUUUUAACGCAUGCAUAAACUGACAUUUAUAGAGUCCACACUUCACGUGAGGGGUAGCUGAUGAGCAAACAACAUUUAAUGCUGCCAGAUCUUCAUAGCGAACUUAUUUAAAGAGGUAGUUGUUUUAUAAUUUUAAUAAACCGUUUUUAGUGUUGUGUUUUAAUGAUAUUAUCCUUUUUAUUUCUAGUGCUAUUACGGGAUCAUUGUUUGCUGAUUGUUGCCUGAGUGUCAGCAUGGGAAAUUAAGGAUCUUAGAGGGAUGCACGGUUGCCGUUUACUUUAGACUUACAAUAAUAUUUUUGUUAUUGAGUCUUUGUUGUUGACUUUUGUUGUAUGCUAAUUUGGGUUGUUUAUUAUGUUGCUAGGUUGAAAACAAUUUGUAUUUUCCUUUGUUAAACUUUUCUUUCUUUUGUAGGUUCUGUUUUGGAUUUGCUUUACCAUCAGUGGCCACUGGGUUCCCUGCACUGUGUGGAUGGCGGUGGAGAAAAGGUGGUUGGGAUUGUGUGGUGAUUUGGUCACUGUUGAUUUUUGUGUUUUUUAGGUUGCAGUGUGAUUGCUGUGAGCUGAGUGUGGUGAAAACACUGCUGCUUGGGUACCUCAUCUGUCCUCACUUUCUGGGUAACCGGUGGCCAUUAGUGGUUUGUUUUUUCUUUUCUUUUAUUUAGUUUAUUUACUUUUUUUUCCUCCUUAUUUGCAAUAAAGAUGGAGACAAUUUGUAUAUUACAACUUGUGGAAUAAAAUAUAAUUGUCCUCCUAA